rnacentral:rRNA from 1 species
GACGAACGCUGGCGGCGUGCCUAAUACAUGCAAGUAGAACGCUGAAGGAGGAGCUUGCUCUUCUGGAUGAGUUGCGAACGGGUGAGUAACGCGUAGGUAACCUGCCUGGUAGCGGGGGAUAACUAUUGGAAACGAUAGCUAAUACCGCAUAAGAGUAGAUGUUGCAUGACAUUUGCUUAAAAGGUGCAAUUGCAUCACUACCAGAUGGACCUGCGUUGUAUUAGCUAGUUGGUGGGGUAACGGCUCACCAAGGCGACGAUACAUAGCCGACCUGAGAGGGUGAUCGGCCACACUGGGACUGGGACACGGCCCAGACUCCUACGGGAGGCAGCAGGAGGGAAUCUUCGGGAAUGGACGGAAGUCUGACCGAGCAACGCCGCGUGAGUGAAGAAGGUUUUCGGAUCGUAAAGCUCUGUUGUAAGAGAAGAACGAGUGUGAGAGUGGAAAGUUCACACUGUGACGGUAUCUUACCAGAAAGGGACGGCUAACUACGUG